GCGAGGCUAGCUGCCAGCUGGACCUACGGGAGCGGGUGACAAAGCCCCAUACGCUCGAGGACCAGACAUGGUGCCGCCACUGCCUUUUGGGCCCGUCCCCGUUACCAGGGACGGAAGCCCAACACACAAGCCGUGCUUGAGGGCAGCAAUGACGCUCGGACAGGCAUGCCCCCCGGAAUACCAGGGGGCGCAAUGUGCGUUCAAAGACUCGAUGAUUCACUGAAUUCUGCAAUUCACAUUAAUUAUCGCAUUUCGCUGCGUUCUUCAUCGAUGCCGGAACCAAGAGAUCCGUUGUUGAAAGUUUUAAUUAUUGUUUAACUAAAAACUCACACUGCAAACUUCACACAGUGUUCAAAUGUUAGUCUUCGGCGGGCCGUGGCCCCGCAAAAACAGGAUGGAAAUAAUAAAUGAUGAGAGGGGGGACGGCCAAAUAAAGGCACGCCUCAGUGAUGAACCCACCCGUACGAUUACCCUAAAAAAAACGAUACAUGAACUGCAACCACCCUGUAUCAUACUAUAUCACAUCUACUUUUUCUACUCUAUUGUAUUAAUAUACUCUAUAUAUUCCUAUGUAUUCAUAUCAAGCAAAAAUAUUAAUGCCAUAACAUAUUUUUAUAUAUUUCAUAACACCCUUAAUUAUAUAUACUAAUAAAUUUAUAAUAUAAAAUUUAUCAAACUUCAGUGAUCAAAUACCACACACCUGCUAACCCCUUGUAUACUAAACUUUUUAUUCUUAUAACAUUUAUUAUUUUAUUCUUUUUAAAUAAUAGACCAAAGAAACGAAAUUCUUCUUCCCUUACGGACGGAUAAUUAUAUCACAUACACAAAUAAAAUCAAGGAUAAUAUAUAU
rnacentral:misc_RNA from 1 species